GUUCCAACCUGAAGGGGACAAAGCGCCGAAAAUCCUUACCUCCUGUGCACCAAGACGUCACCGAAUUAUGCAAAUCGAUCAACCUGGAUCUGCCAGAGAUGGACAGGCUUUGCAUGCUGUUGUUAUCCAGCUUCCAGGAAAGGCUGCCAAGACCUUUCCUGUCUUCCUGUAGUUUUCUGCGCAGAAGUUUGAACACAUCUUGAAGGAAACUGAUGGCUUUAGCCCUGAGGCAUUCAGAGCCAACGUGCAUUCCGUUGCAGAAGACCUGAAG